rnacentral:lncRNA from 1 species
AAUCACGGGAUCAGAGAACGGCAGAAUGGCGGGAUCAUGGAGUGACACAGGAUCACAUGGAAUCACAUGGAAUCAUGGGAUCAGGGAAUGGCAGAAUGGCGGGAUCAUGGAGUGACACGGGAUCACAUGGAAUCACAUGGAAUCACAUGGAAUCACAUGGAAUCACGGGAUCAGGGAAUGGCAGAAUGGCGGGAUCACAGAGUGACACAGGAUCACAUGGAAUCAUGGAAUCAUGGAAUCAGGGAAUGGCAGAAUGGCGGGAUGAUGGAGUGACACAGGAUCACAUGGAAUCACAUGGAAUCAGGGAAUGGCGGGAUGGUGGGAUCACGGAGUGACACAGGAUUGCAUGGAAUCACAUGGAAUCACGGGAUCAGGGAAUGGCGGGAUUGCGGGAUCUUGGAGUGACACAGGAUCACAUGGAAUCACAGAAUCAGGGAAAGGCAGAAUGGUGGGAUUGCAGGAUCAUGGAGUGACACAGGAUCACAUGGAAUCACAUGGAAUCACGGGAUCAGGGAAUGGUGGGAUUGCGGGAUCACGGAGUGACACAGGAUCACAUGGAAUCACGGAAUCAGGGAAUGGCGGGAUGAUGGAGUGACACAGGAUCACAUGGAAUCACGGAAUCAGGGAACGGCAGAAUGGCGGGAUCAUGGAGUGACUCAGGAUCACAUGGAAUCACGGAAUCAUGGAAUGGCGGGAUGGUGGGAUCAUGCAGUGACACAGGAUCACACAGAAUCAUGGAAUCAGGGAGUGGCAGAAUGGUGGGAUGGCGAGGUGAUACAGGAUCACACGGAAUCACAUGGAAUCAGGGAAUGGCAGAAUGGUGGGAUUGCGGGAUCAUGGAGUGACACAGGAUCACAUGGAAUCACAGGAUCAGGAAAUGGCAGAAUAGCAGGAUGGCGGGAUUGUGGGAUCAUGCAGUGACACAGGAUCACAUGGAAUCAUGGAAUCAGGGAAUGGCAGAAUGGCGGGAUCAUGGAGUGACACAGGAUCACAUGGAAUCACAUGGAAUCACAUGGAAUCAGGGAGUGGCACAAUAGCGGGAUCAUGGAGUGACACAGGAUCACAUGGAAUCACGGGAUCGGGGAAUGGCAGAAUGGUGGGAUGGCGGGGUGAUACAGGAUCACAUGGAAUCACGGGAUCAGGGAACGGCAGAAUGGUGGGAUCAUGGAGUGACACAGGAUCACAUGGAAUCACGGGAUCAGGGAAUGGCACAAUGGCGGGAUGGCGGGAUCAUGGAGUGACACAGGAUCACAUGGAAUCACGGAAUCAUGGAAUGGCGGGAUGGCGGGAUCAUGGAGUGACACAGGAUCACAUGGAAUCACAUGGAAUCAGGGAACGGCAGAAUGGCGGGAUCAUGGAGU